AUACUUACCUGGACGGGGUCUAUGGGUGAUCAAGGAGGCCCAUUACCUAGAUAUGUGACCUACAUUGCACUCUGUAGGGGUGCAUGUCUAAGGUCAGCCCAAGUGGUUGAGCCUGCGUCAUAAUUUGUGGUAGAGGGAGCCUGCGUUCGCGCGGCUCCUAC